rnacentral:tRNA from 2 species
UGUAAUUUAGUUUAGUAAGAAUUUUUAUUUUUGGUGUAAAGGGGGUUAGUUACAG